rfam:Lactobacillus saerimneri 30a contig00014, whole genome shotgun sequence.
UUUUUAAUUAUGAUUCUACCGAAGACUCAGGUGGCUCACGCCUUAAACAUUGCCUGCCGAGGAGUAUAUUAUUUGUACCUCUCUCUGUGUCUUGGUGGACAUAGGGUUUUUUAUUUUUAUA